rnacentral:tRNA from 1 species
GGCCCCGUCGUCUAGCGGCCCAGGACGCGCCCUCUCAAGGCGGUAGCGCCGGUUCGAAUCCGGUCGGGGCUA